rnacentral:rRNA from 1 species
UACGUAGGGCGCGAGCGUUGUCCGGAAUUAUUGGGCGUAAAGAGCUUGUAGGCGGUUUGUCGCGUCUGCUGUGAAAAUCCGGGGCUCAACCCCGGACUUGCAGUGGGUACGGGCAGACUAGAGUGUGGUAGGGGAGACUGGAAUUCCUGGUGUAGCGGUGAAAUGCGCAGAUAUCAGGAGGAACACCGAUGGCGAAGGCAGGUCUCUGGGCCACUACUGACGCUGAGAAGCGAAAGCGUGGGGAGCGAACAGG